UUUUAGCCCCGAUAGCAGCGAAAAUCCUUUUUAUCCCUUCUUUUGGGAUAAAAAGAUUGCAGCGAAUAGCGGGAUUAGCU
rnacentral:sRNA from 1 species